CCAAAUUGGUGCCAGCAGUCGCGGUUAUACAAAUAAUACAAGUAAACUUUGUCGGUCUUAGUAAAACUGAUAAUUUAAACUAAAUAUACAUUUUUUAGGUGAAAUUUUAAAUGUAGAUAUGUUUAAACUAAUUUAGUUGAAUCUAAAAAACUUAAACGAAAAACUAGGAUUAGAUACCCUAUUAUUUUAAGUGUAAUUAAAUGGCCUGAGUAGUAUUAGUUAUGUUCUUGAAACUUAAAAAAUUUGGCGGUAUUUUAGUCUAUUCAGAGGAACCUGUUCUAUUAUCGAUAAUCCACGAUGGACCUUUCUUAUCCUUGUUUAUCAGUUUAUAUACCGUCGUUCUCAGAAUAUUUUAAAAGAAUAAUAAUUUUCAAAAAUUUUUAUCUAAACAUAUAUCAGAUCAAGGUGUAGCUUAUGGAUAAGUUGCAAUGGGUUACAAUAAAAUUAUUUAUAUGGAUAUAACAAUGAAAAAGUUAUUGAAAGUGGAUUUGAUAGUAAAAUUGUAAAGAUAAACAAUUUGA
rnacentral:rRNA from 1 species